AGGAGUUAGCUAGCACUGCAUUUGGUGUUGAUACUGCACAAGAUACUGCUAGAGGAGAUACUGCUACAGGAUCUGAUGAGCAUAUGCAUGAGACAGGUGGAUCUGGACCACGUCCCGAGGACAAGAGAGAUACUGCUAUAGGAUCUGAUGAGCAUAUGCAUGAGACAGGUGGAUCUGGACCACGUCCUGGGGACAAGAGAGAUACUGCUACAGGAUCUGAUGAGCAUAUGCAUGAGACAGGUGGAUCUGGACCACGUCCUGGGGACAAGAGACCACGAGAUGUUAUUGAUGAUAGCACUUAGAUUUUACUAUUUAUUUGGCUUUGAUAUGUACUUUUU